GAUGAAGAACGUAGCGAAAUGCGAUAAGUAAUGUGAAUUGCAGAAUUCAGUGAAUCAUCGAAUCUUUGAACGCACAUUGCGCCCCUUGGUAUUCCGAGGGGCAUGCCUGUUCGAGCGUCAUUAUAACCCCUCAAGCUCAGCUUGGUGUUGGGGCCUGCUGCACUGGCAGCCCUUAAAAUCAGUGGCAGCGCCAUCUGGCUCUAAGCGUAGUAAUUCUUCUCGCUAUGGAGUCCUGGUGGAUGCUUGCCAUCAACCCCCAAUUUUUCUAUGGUUGACCUCGGAUCAGGUAGGGAUACCCGCUGAACUUAAGCAUAUCAAUAAGCGGAGGA
rnacentral:misc_RNA from 1 species